rnacentral:tRNA from 2 species
GGAGAGGUCGCAUAGUGGCCGAGUGCGCUGGUUUGCUAAACCGGUAAGGGGGAAACCCCUUCGAGGGUUCAAAUCCCUCCCUCUCCG